GACGAACGCUGGCGGCGUGCUUAACACAUGCAAGUCGAACGGUGACAGGGAGCUUGCUCCCUCGAUCAGUGGCGAACGGGUGAGUAACACGUGAGUAACCUGCCCCAGACUCUGGGAUAACAUCGGGAAACCGGUGCUAAUACCGGAUAUGAGACGAGACUGCAUGGUCAUCGUCUGGAAAGAUUUAUCGGUCUGGGAUGGACUCGCGGCCUAUCAGCUAGUUGGUGAGGUAAUGGCUCACCAAGGCGACGACGGGUAGCCGGCCUGAGAGGGCGACCGGCCACACUGGAACUGAGACACGGUCCAGACUCCUACGGGAGGCAGCAGUGGGGAAUAUUGCACAAUGGGCGCAAGCCUGAUGCAGCGACGCCGCGUGGGGGAUGAAGGCCUUCGGGUUGUAAACCCCUUUCAGCAGGGAAGAAGCGAAAGUGACGGUACCUGCAGAAGAAGCGCCGGCUAACUACGUGCCAGCAGCCGCGGUAAUACGUAGGGCGCAAGCGUUGUCCGGAAUUAUUGGGCGUAAAGAGCUCGUAGGCGGUUUGUCGCGUCUGCUGUGAAAACCCGAGGCUCAACCUCGGGCCUGCAGUGGGUACGGGCAGACUAGAGUGUGGUAGGGGAGACUGGAAUUCCUGGUGUAGCGGUGGAAUGCGCAGAUAUCAGGAGGAACACCAAUGGCGAAGGCAGGUCUCUGGGCCACAACUGACGCUGAGGAGCGAAAGCGUGGGGAGCGAACAGGAUUAGAUACCCUGGUAGUCCACGCCGUAAACGGUGGGCACUAGAUGUGGGGCUCUUUCCAUGAGUUCCGCGUCGCAGCUAACGCAUUAAGUGCCCCGCCUGGGGAGUACGGCCGCAAGGCUAAAACUCAAAGGAAUUGACGGGGGCCCGCACAAGCGGCGGAGCAUGCGGAUUAAUUCGAUGCAACGCGAAGAACCUUACCAAGGCUUGACAUAUGCCGUUUAUCCCUAGAGAUAGGGAGUCCUUCGGGGCGGUAUACAGGUGGUGCAUGGUUGUCGUCAGCUCGUGUCGUGAGAUGUUGGGUUAAGUCCCGCAACGAGCGCAACCCUCGUUCUAUGUUGCCAGCGCGUAAUGGCGGGGACUCAUAGGAGACUGCCGGGGUCAACUCGGAGGAAGGUGGGGAUGACGUCAAAUCAUCAUGCCCCUUAUGUCUUGGGCUUCACGCAUGCUACAAUGGCCGGUACAAAGGGCUGCAAUACCGUAAGGUGGAGCGAAUCCCAAAAAGCCGGUCUCAGUUCGGAUUGAGGUCUGCAACUCGACCUCAUGAAGUCGGAGUCGCUAGUAAUCGCAGAUCAGCAACGCUGCGGUGAAUACGUUCCCGGGCCU
rnacentral:rRNA from 1 species